AUAUUACUUGCCCUAGAUGAAACCCCUAAUGUCUCUAAUGAGUCAACAUUGGAUAAAAUUCCUCUUAAUCAUUAUGUGUCUAAAAAUGAUCAAAAGAUUCUAAAAAACUAUGGCGGGGUCAAUUAGAAUCUUCAACUCCUAGCAUAUGCAUCUUCACAUAAACGAGGUGCUCUUCGCCAGACAAUGAGACUAAUUAUCUCUGCAAUCAAAUCAUCGACAGAUAAUAUUAAUGGGUUCGCACAACUUUAACAAUCCAUACAUCAAGCAAUUGGAGCAAGAUAUCUGCACUAUCACAGACAUGUUAUUGAUUUUGUAUUACGAUAUAAAAGAUGAAACAGAAUAGUGUUUGAACAACAAGAGAGCUAGCAUGUUAAGUUGCAGUUGAGACGUGGUUAUGUUUCAUUCGUUGCUAUUAGAUAAAUCAUUAUGUUACGUGAUAUAAGUGAAAUCAG